CAUAUGCAGCUAGCGCCUGGACCGGUUCUGGCCGGUUGACGAGGAGAAAGGUUAUCGAAAGAUUCGGCGGAUGCCUUUCCGGCCGCUUAACCACGGUCGUUACAUUUGCCUGUAAAACCCGCGGGUAACCGCGAAACAGAGGGUAGAUGCUGGUGAAA
rnacentral:ncRNA from 2 species